UUCUCACGGCUCGAACUCACCGACGAAACCAAUGUUUGGCUCAGAUCGCCGUUCCGCGCCUCAGAUUUCCAUAUGGAGGCCACUACAAGCUCCUCCUUCGAACCGUCUUUGUCAUUUUUUUUUGGAAAAGCUCUCUGUCGUCUGUAUACUUCUCUGUUCCACUGAAGAAACCAGAACGAUAUGUAACGCUUUAUUCACAAUUGAGAACUCUAUUAAAUUUCACCAUUAAGUCACUCCGUCUAUCCCACUACUCGAAUUUAAUUACUACUCUUCCCAUCUUCUUUGCAAAUCCCUAAUUUUCCAUACUAUAAAUAGUGGUGCAGCCAUCUCCAUAUCUCAUCGUUUCACCAGAUUCAUCGUUUCGUCCUUAUAGUGUUGACGCGUCUCAUGCGUUUCUGGGAAGCAUGUUUUUGCUUGAUGAAAAGUGGGUUUGAUGCUACGAGAAGCAACCACCACUUCAAGAAACAAAAUCACCUGUCACAAUAUGCUUCACUGACCUAACUAAGUUUGUUGAGAUUCCGGCAGGACCUGCUCCAGUACCCCUGGAGUUCUUUAGUUUUUGUCUUUAUGAGCAACUCAUGGAAUUGGCAAACAAAAAUACUCAAUUUUUAGGCAUCAUAGGGGAGGUGACUUAGGUGAGCAACGUCAAUAUAAAUUUUAAUGACGAAUCACAAACAACUCAACACAUAAUGGAGGCCAUCCAAAUUGACGGGUACUUGAGUGUUUCAGGACCACUAAAAUGUUAAUAUAUCCUCUUGGUUUGAUUGUAUACUACCAAACUUGAAAUAUGCAUCAUGACAUCUACAUACUUCAUUUUCUGUUAAUAUAUUUCCAACCUUCUAAAGUGCUCUACAAUAUCUACUACUGUCUGUCUAAGUGUCUUUGAUGUCCAGGCCAGCAAACUCCACCAGAACUUAGAUGGGGUUGGUGUGGAGCCUAAGGUCAUUAAUAUCUAUCAAAGAACAUUAAUCCAAAAUUUGUAGGAGGACGCUUAUAUUUGAAUGCAAUUUCAGGGACCAAUUUCCACUUCGACAAAGAACUUCGGUGAGGAUGGUGUCACCAGCUCUGCAAGUUAUACCAAAUAUGGAGAUGUUCAGAAAAUUGAAACUGUUACGGUGCUCAAGCUUAAUGCGUACGUGCUGAAAUCUCGCUGCAGGUUUCUGAGUUCCUUUGCACCAACAAAGUAGAGGCCACUGAAACCACCAAUGGAUGGUGCUACAUUUUCUGCUACAAAUGUUCAAGAAAGCUACAGCGAGGAUUCCCUUCAUUCACAUGCACCUAUUGUCAUAACUCUAGCACUAUUGGUGUUGUCAGGUAUUGCCCGGUAGAUUUAUCUCACUUCUCACUUUUUAAAAUAUUCACUAAACAAGCCAUCUAACACUCUCCCAUUGGCGUUUUAAAAUUUUGCAAACCGUGUGGAGAUUUGUGUCUCUGAUGCGAGAGAGUCAUCCAUGUUUGACUACAAAUUGGUAUUUCAAUAUUUACAUACACAAGCUACGUAAUGAUGUCUACAUUCUUUUCAUUAAAAUGCAGGCUGCAAGUGUUGCAGACCCUCUAGAGUCUGAGGUUUCACAAUUUCUCCAAGAAAUAGUUGUGAGACGUUUGAUUUUCAAUUGAAGCUUUUUGAGUUCAUUUUCAACUCCAAACAUCAAUCAUUCACUGUGUCCCACAUAUUUUAUUGUCAUCAGCGUCCCCUACUGAAACUUUUACUUAGGAAAGUUUUACGCCCUAUUUGGCGUGACUGGGAAAGAAAUUGGUGUGUUUUCAGUCGCUGGGAAGUGAGAAGGAAUAUGCAGGGACAGCACUAUCACCGGAUUCAUUUGAUUAUUUAGUCCCCGCGUCUUUUGUUUCAAACUCCAAAUGAAGAAAAUA